GAGACUCGGAGACACUGCUAAACUGUCAUUUGUGGGCAUCUACCAAAUUCACUAUCAGCCAGUGUAGUAGGAGGUAUGUUGAUUUUUUUUUUUAUUAGUCCAUGUAGAGAUGCUAUUCUCAGCUCUAGAUUUGACACUUGAGAUAUCCAAAUUACACUCCCAUGGCUUGUAUGUUGCUGGAAGAUGCUCACAAACACUAACCUUUAUGAUAUAUUUGUUUGUUGUGGAGUUCUUUCAGAAUGUCUUAAGAGAUAGAGAAUCUGGCAUUUAAGAUUAUUUCUACAUUUAUUUUCUUCGACUGGUAUAAUCCUCCUGAAGGUUAUGCUUGAGAUAUCAUUUAAGGAAGCAAUGAGUUAUUUUGGCAUUAUAUUUGUUUCUAUUAAUUCCUAGAGAGACAAAGAUACUUCAACUUCAUAUCAUUCUAUAUAUGAGUUUAUUUAUAUAACUCUGAAUCAUUUAAGUAGCAUGUUUAUCUGUUUGCUUUUAUUAUGAUAUAAAUACAAAGUGAGUUUCUGUAGAAAGGGAAAAUAAUUUGAAUACGUGAGACUAUUUAGAUGCAUAUUGGUUCCCCUAUUUGCUACGUCGCGUGGCAUGUUCUGAUCACUCUACGAAUUCUUCAUUGAUGUUGGGGCUGCUACUGGAUCUGGCUCCCCAGCUGAGGUGCCGACUGCUGCUGUAUUUUGGCGCCUGGUAGCAGGAAGUGCAUCCUCUUAACUUCUUUCAAAGAGUUGUUGUGCUUCAUAGUUCAACUGGCUAGAGAAAUGAUAAACAUGAAGGCUUAAAACAACUUGUACUAGGUUAAGGUAGCGGUGCAGCCUCUUGAUGCUAAAAAUCUAUGGUCCUGACGGGAUAUCGAGUGAUGCCCUAAUUGAUUAAAAAAGGGGCAUCAAUCAUUUGGGAUACUAUGUCCUGAAUAUUAUUGCAUGAAUUUUGUGUUUCAGCCUUACAGACAAUAAUAUGUCAAGAUUAGAUGCCAAAUACCGAGAUGGAUUUGUGGCAAGGAUCAUUCAUCAUGUUAUGUGGUGACAAAUGAAGACAAUGCUUAUGUUUUUAUGUGUACUUUUUUUUACUUCAAUUAGCAUUUCUACGAUGAAAUCAUUCCAACUGAACCAAUGAGAAAAUAAUUCUGCCUCUAAUGCUUUUAUUUUCUUUGAUUGUUUUGAUGCUCCAUAUUUGAAUGUUUAUGUUCUAUUUUGAAUCGUAAUGAUUAUCCAUUACCAACAUGUCGUCAUGGUGUAAGUCCCCGACACGUGGUGUGCCAUGAUUUAGGGAACAACAUUGAAUAGAAGUCUGCGAGAGUCUGAUGGCCCUGUUGUGGAUGUAGCAGUGUGUUCACCGGAGAUUAGGUCAUCAAUGGGAUGAACCAUUAAUCUCCUCCAUUUUUUGUACCGUCGUUGUGGGAAGAACAUUCACAUUCCCCUUAGUUACAUGGCGUUUUAGGAUUUUAUCUCCUGGCACUUCACAGAGACUGGUAUUUUCUUCGUUCGCACUGCUUACCAUGUUGAAUGGACUCGUCAAUAUAGGCGGGAUUUCAAUGUUUCGGCUUCAGGUCCAUCAGCUACUAACCCAGUUUGGCAUUGUCUUUGGAAACUAUCCAUACCUCUCAAAGUUCAGAUCUUCUGCUGGAGAAAUCAAUUCUUACUAACCGUCAAGUAGGUUGGCUGGGUCAUUGUCCUAUAUGCAAUCAGGGUGUUGAAGAUGUCAAGUAUCUCCUGUUUACCUGCAGCCGAGCCACUGCCCUUUGGAAUGCGCUGGGACUAGCUCAUGUGAUUUCGGACGCAGCUGCCUUGAAUCACUUAGGAUCUGCCAUUUUGGAGCACUUUAUUUGUAUCCCCUCACAGCCAGUGCAAUGUAUGCCGUCAGUUAUCAUACAAACUAGAUCAUUGAUGGCGCGCGUUGCCGCGCCCGUCCAUUUUACCGGUAGAAUGAAAACAAUAUUUCAAAUGAUGGCAUGAAACAUAAAAGUUGGAUGCAAAAUGAGUUGAUUGGGAUACCAAUUCUAAGUUAGUUAUAGAAUUAUUCCCUGCUACUAUUUGUUGACCACAAUUGGCAACUAGGUUGAAGAUUUGGGAUCAGAUGUUGUGCAAAGAAUGAGGCACCAGGGUACUGAACUAACAGCAGGGGAGGACGAUUCUUCAGACACAACACUCCAAGAAAAUAUGGGUGCUCAUGGUGAUAUAUGCAUGAUUUUUGAUUUUGAUAUGCCUUUUUUUGAUCUGAGCUAUCGGAGGUGAUGCGAUCUUUACCACCAGCCUAAGGGUGUGAGAGUGCGCGCGCUCAACUCUGUCGGACCGGUUGUGCUUUAGUACGUGCAAGCAAGGGAGAAGAGAGUUUGCUGAUUCUUAUCUGCAGCUCCAACAGGAAAGCCGACCAAUUAACUCUUGAGAUUUGUCAUUUAUGUUGUCAGGCUCAGUUAAAAAACUUUCAAAAAGGGAGGAUGCAAUCUUCUAAUUUUGUUUUGUGAAUCAAUCUUGUACUUAAUUCAGGAGCUCUCCCUUUUCAUUGUUAAGAUCGUCAUCACUUUCUAUAUAUAAUGCAACUACAAAGUAGAAUCACGUGAGUGGGUAUUUACCCCUUUAUUCAAGACAAAACAUGCAACAAGACAUGCUUUAAUUUUCUUGACAUGCUACAGUACUUUUAGAGACGGGAUGAAUAUGAGUUGUUCUUGUACAGAAAACAGUUGAAUUUGUGAGUUCAUUCCUUUUAGUUUUUGGUUCUGGUUCUUGAUACUGAACUACAAAAAUGGAAGUACUUAGUUUGCGUUUGGACUCCCGCUGGAAUGUUAAUAUAUGUGAAACUUAGAGUGGAUGUACUUUCAUUAUUUAGCUCUUUGAAUAUGCACAUACGACAUGAUUUGUACUGGCAUGCUACUAUGUAAAUCUUACGGGGUGACAAUUUGGUAAAUAGUCCCACUGUUCUAUCCCUCACCUUGCUCCGUGUGAGUUCCAAAAAAUAUAUCUUUUUUGUCUAAAAUGGAACAAGCAUUCAUGUUUGACAAAUUUAACCGCACAAAGUUAUCUAAUAAAACUUGCACAAAGUGUCUCUGCUUUUUGUAUGCGCAGGGCAAGUGAUUAUAACAAGUUUCUUUGUUGCGGGUCUGUUGUUGGGCGAGUGAAAAUGCCAGAGGUAGAAGCGAAGACAAUCAACAACGACGACCAUAUUGUGUCGAUGACCACCUUAAAAUAAUGCCAUGUAUGUUAAUUGUGUGUAGAAAAUUCUUAUUUUCUUUGGCGUGGAAAGUGUUGUAACAUGCAUGGAUGUCCUAUGACCCCCCCCCCCCCCCCCUUCUGUCUUGUUGUCUGCUUUGCCAAUUUUGCUACAGUACUCUACCACAUGCAUCUUUCUA